rnacentral:rRNA from 1 species
CCUACGGGCGGCUGCAGUGGGGAAUAUUGGACAAUGGGCGAAAGCCUGAUCCAGCCAUGCCGCGUGUAUGAAGAAGGUCUUCGGGUUGUAAAGCACUUUCAGUGGGGAAGAAAGCCUUGGGGCUAAUACCCUCGAGGAAGGACAUCACCCACAGAAGAAGCACCGGCUAACUCCGUGCCAGCAGCCGCGGUAAUACGGAGGGUGCGAGCGUUAAUCGGAAUUACUGGGCGUAAAGCGCGCGUAGGCGGUCUGAUAAGCCGGUUGUGAAAGCCCCGGGCUCAACCCGGGAACGGCAUCCGGAACUGUCAGGCUAGAGUGCAGGAGAGGAAGGUAGAAUUCCCGGUGUAGCGGUGAAAUGCGUAGAGAUCGGGAGGAAUACCAGUGGCGAAGGCGGCCUUCUGGACUGACACUGACGCUGAGGUGCGAAAGCGUGGGUAGCAAACAGGAUUAGAUACCCGAGUAGUC